ACUGGCUAGUCGGCACCUAGGUGCCCUUUAUCCGCCCGGCUAGCUCAUAGUGAUUUUCACAACAUUGGCCAUUUCAUAUUGCCCCAAAAACUAUGAGUUCACGAACAGUCAAAUCAGCUCAGAGCUAACAUCAUGAUUCAUGAAGCCAAAGCAACAUAGUAGCAAGCCCCAUUUACACCUAGAGAACUACCAGUUAUGAACAAAUAUACAGGUGCUCUGCACUAGCUGUGUCAAUAUCACACAAUAGCUUCUGCUCCCAGAAAAAGAGCGCUUUCAAUAAAUAACAGUAUGAUAAGCGAACAAUAGUAUAACCACCUCGGGAAAUAAGUUGAUGGUUCAACACCUUAAAGCCAUCAGAAAAGCCAUUACAGAUCCAAGACCAGAUUCCACAACUGUCGUCCACGAAUAAAGACGACUAGGGCACCAACACCCAAUAAAGAAAUAACGGACUAAUGGGGGCCUAAUGGAGCGACAAAAAUACCAUUUAUUGUGCUCCGACUCAUGAAAGAAAAGACAAUAACAAACAAAUUCAAGCAAAAAAUGGAGAAAGACAACAAUAUUUCUGAUUCAUUUCUACUUCUUCUCAACUUUCUCGUCUUCGUCGCUCUCACUCCAACAGCUAUGCAGAGUUGACCUAGGAGAUCCACAGCCACCAUACUUGGUAAAGCUGUAGUAAACAACAGACCCUCCUUUUCCAAGCACCUCAUGACUCUUCUCUCCACAGAAAUAUCCCUUCAAAUCCAGAUCCACACC